AGCACGAAAGGACAUAGUAGCAAUAUAUCAUUUGGUAGGUUAUCCUUUGCUUUUAGCUAGAUUUUCAUUUCUUGGUACGUUCGUGCCUCGCAAGAAAUUUUUGCAAAGUUUAUUUUAUUUCUUACAGACCUGUUAAAUUUAUACAUUGAGAAAAUCGCAUGAGACGGGUUAAUAAUAGGUGCUAAUGAAAGUGCUCUUCUCGAGAAAAUAGGUCACCGUGGAAGUAAUAGAAAAGUCAAAUGUCUCUUAACAAAGAAAGUCAUGCCAAUAAACCACUUAAAGUCACGAAGAGCGCUAGGAUAUAGAAGCUAAACAGUACUCUACACUGCUAGUUUACCAUACGUCCCUCAAGAAGAAGAUAAAGAAGAUAGUUCAUUUCUUCAACACAUCGGUUCUUUCGACUCCGUUUAAAGUGUUAUUUGACAUUCCAUUUUCAUGGUAUUAUGGAUAUCAAUAAGGUACCCUACUUCAACGAGUCAGAGAAUGCAACAGCACGUUCAGAUCAUCUGCGCGAAGUCAACAACCAGCUUCAGACAAACAACACGGGGGUCGCAAAGUUGAUGUCCAUUGCAACAGUUAUCGUCGUCAUCAACAGUUUGGUCCUUUAUUUAGUUUUCAAGAAUAAAUCCCUGCGGACCGUUCCAAACUAUCCUCUUUUCAGUUUGGCAGCUUGUGACCUCUUCUGUGGAUUUGUAGCCAUUCCUUUAUUUACAAUGAUAUUUUUUACGCCACUGGUACAGUCUCAAGGGGCAACGAGGUUCUAUCUGGGAUUUUUGGUAACAGUUCUUCACAACUUCAUAGCCAUCGCCACUGUUUACCACAUAGUUAUUGUUACGGGGGAGCGUUACAUGGCGAUUAAAUUUCCACUGAAACAUCGCGUUAUCGACCAAAAGAACGUUCUAACAUUGUUAGCCAUUGUCUGGAUCUCUUCAUUUUUUAUAUCAUGUAUUCCAUUUACCUGGAUCAAUAAGAUAUAUCCAGUAUACAAACCAGUUUCUUUAAGAUUAGCACUCGGUUUCACCAUAUUUUGCAUGGUAUUCGUCUUGGUUCUACCCUAUAUUUUCUUGAUAUAUGCAUUCACUGAUAUGUUUAAAGGUGUCUAUGGUAAACCAAGGAGUACGAAUCGAUGUAUUAAUGACUCCAGAAUGGCUCUGCGCCGCAGCCGAAGUAUUGAAAAACAUUCAGGUAGCGAGUUGAAGUGUCUAACACUUUUCGUCAUCAUGGCGUCCGUGUUUCUGAUUUGUUGGCUUCCUUGGUUUGUAAUAUUUUUGUUAUACCAGUUGUCCUUCGACAUCUCUAAAUUGCUUAUACCAUCUCAAAUGGCGCUUUUGAUCCGCUACAUGACUUCAGUUGUCAACCCACUGCUCUACACUUUUCUAAAAAGAGACUUUUUUCAAGCUCUCAAGUUCACCUUCAGGAGACGCAGGCAAGUUUCGCAUUCAGUUAUCUACCCUAAUGGACAUGAGACAUUGCAAACGGAAUUCAACUACCAGUCUGGAGUGUCAGUCACUCAUUCACGUGAUUGCCAGUCCAAGGAGGUGAAUUUAGGCACCAUCCAAGAGGGUGAGGAGCAUUUUGGUGACAGUACGUGUUGAUAAACCUUAUGAAAAGGUACUAACAGUGAACAGUCCUAAAAGUUGUUUUGGAGACUGUAAUCAUGAUAACAAAGCGAGUAGCUUUCAUUUCUUUUCUUUUCUUUUUCUAAAUGAAGGAGUUUGUAUUUUAUGAGAUAUCGAUGAAUCAUGUGUGACCGAGAGAGAAACAUGUCGACUUUGAGAUUGGCGAUGAACGCAAAUUUUCAGACUACCCAACCGUUUCAGUUUUGGACUCCUGUCCUCCUGUCCUUAAGGUGUAAUUCAGUUUAGACCGCUGUUAAGCCGAUUGAUCAUCUCCUCGGCCGUAUUAAGUCUAUGAGUUCGAGCUCACAAUCAAACUGAUUGAAACUCGUGUCUUAUUUACAAACGCAAGUUGGGUUCGAUUUCCGCCGCUCUCUUUGCGUCCCUCGGGGAAGAACGUAAAUUCUUAUACCAAGCAGUUGUUGCUAUUUAGGUGUUCCUUUCUUUUUGCAGUAAACUGAAAAGAAACUAAAACCACGGACAAAACCUGUUGAGACAAUUUGUUCUCAUUUCAAAGUAUUAUUAGCCGAAAAUUAAAUCGGACAAAUGUAAGCUAUUCGAUGUGGAGUUGAAAAUUACAGAGUAACUGGUAGAACUCCGUGUAUGGAUAUCAAACACGAGAACAUUAACUUUCUUUACGAAGUAUGAAAUUCACUAAUAAGGUAUAUACUGUUUUAUGAACGGCAUUUAGAUAUUAUUUCAACGAAACUCAUCUUAAUAUAGAUCAGUUCUGGUGACGACGGCCGUCUGCCACUAACGGCGAGUCAAUAAGCUGAAUGUAUUCCGGGCUGAACCGAUCGCUUCUCUCCUUCUUUCGCAGGAUAGCAGUUCAAAACGUCAUGGAAAACUUAGAAUACGAGCGUAAGUUCAAACCAUCGGCUAGAUUGAAGAAGAGAUAGAUUCUUCCCAAGGAAAGUGAUGCAGGUUCACAAGUAUCUUCAUGGGUCAAUAAGGAGAACGUGUACUUUGCUCUGACUGUUUGUUAAAAAAUACAAGUGAUACAGUAACUUGCAAGCCACAAUAAAAACCUUGCAUUUAAGUUGGACUGAAGUUUAACCAAUAAGGAAAGGAUGUUUUUAUCAAUCUUCCCUCGGGCUUUGGCAGAAGUCUAAUAUAUCAACUGUCACCUCUGGUUGCGGAAGAGAUGUCGACAAGGCCUUAUCAGAAUGGCAAUAUUCGAAGUGGCAUCGUGUCGGUGAUUUCACCUUUGGUAUCUUUGAUCAAAGAUCAAGUUGAAGGUCUUCAACAAAGAGGAAUUAAAGCUUCGUUUAUCGGUACCGGUCAAGAGGAGGCCAAUUUCAAGGAAAUUGUGAAUGGUGAAAUGAACAUCGUGUAUUCGUCGCCAGAAGCCAUGCUUGUAAAUGAUCGCUGGCGAGAGAUGAUUUGCUCUCAAGUUUACCAAAAACUGUGGUUGUUGUAGCGGUGGAUGAAGCCCAUUGCAUUACUCACUGGGUACUUAUACAGACCAUGACGUUGAAGAACCACACUCUCUAGCAGAGAGUGAUGAUGGAACUGCUUCAGUGGAUACUAGUGCUAACAACUCUGAACUUAUGAAAUCAUUUCAGAAGAUAGAAGUCCCGACAAUGCCAAACCCAGUGUCCCCCAGUUAAAGCGUGCUUCAGCUUCUGGUAUACAGUCUUUAACACUUAAGUCUUCCCAAUUGAUUAUCAAGGCAGUGUUUGGUGAAAACCUCAAUUGUGAAAACAUAGUGAAAGUUUUAAAGAAUAAAUUUUCUGUGAAACAUCAUUCCCUGACACCUUUGACAGUUACACAACUAAUGGAAGUAAUUUCCAAUAAAAACUAUUAAACCAUAAAUAUUGUCACAUCAGCCUUGGGGUCAAUCAAGUGACAUGAAAAUGGAUGAUAUUAUUGUUUGUAAGGAAAUUUCUUUGUGAUUAAGAACUGCAGUAUGGUGUAACCCAGCUGUCGU